GGGCAAGUGAUGCUGCUUUUCCACAAUUUCAGCCCGAAGCAAUCUAUGUAGAAGUCCAGUCUGUUGUUUCGACCCUCAGGAGGAAUCCAUGCAGAAUCCUUUUUAUUGUAGCGUUGGUAGGGAGGAAUCUGUGGUGUACAUCACAAAUGCGGCAGGGAGAAGAGACAACAGCUGCACUGCAUAUCUGAAAUUCUCUGGCAACACAUCACGUUUGAAAUUCUCUCCCUAAGAACCUGUCAGAUGACCUCUGUUUCCCAAUUCUCACACAGCAUCACAGCCUGUCAGAGGGCAGGAAGAGGAAGACUGAUUGGGACAGGCUGGGGAAAGGAACCAGAGAAGAGAGGCGCUAACUAUUGUGAUGGGGUGUUGGAGCAAGGUGCCAGGUGCCCAGGAAGGUUGACCUGAAGCUGCUGUUCCAGAAGAGCAACAGAGCUAGAUGAGAACAGAGAUGGCUUAAUAAGGACUGGCUGAGAAGGGAGAUGGCUGGGAUUUGAAUCUGCAAGAAGCAGGAUUACCAGAGACCCAU